rnacentral:rRNA from 1 species
UACGGAGGGAGCUAGCGUUAUUCGGAAUUACUGGGCGUAAAGCGCACGUAGGCGGCUUUGUAAGUUAGAGGUGAAAGCCUGGAGCUCAACUCCAGAAUUGCCUUUAAGACUGCAUCGCUUGAAUCCAGGAGAGGUGAGUGGAAUUCCGAGUGUAGAGGUGAAAUUCGUAGAUAUUCGGAAGAACACCAGUGGCGAAGGCGGCUCACUGGACUGGUAUUGACGCUGAGGUGCGAAGGCGUGGGGAGCAAACAGG